rnacentral:rRNA from 1 species
UACGUAGGGUGCGAGCGUUAGUCGGAAUUACUGGGCGUAAAGGGCGCGUAGGCGGGAUGGCAAGUCGGUCGUGAAAUCCCUCGGCUCAACCGAGGAACGUCGAUCGAUACUGCUGUUCUUGAGGAUUGCAGAGGAGGCUGGAAUUCCCGGUGUAGCGGUGAAAUGUGUAGAGAUCGGGAGGAACACCGGUGGCGAAGGCGGGUCUCUGGGCAAUUCCUGACGCUGAGGCGCGAAAGCGUGGGGAGCAAACGGG